AAACGAAAACGUUCACUCUUAAAAAUGCUGGGUUAUUUCUAUAAACACAUUGCUGGGUUGAUUUGGCUGGGUCAUAAUUAUGGGUUAUUUGGGUACUGUAAACACACUGGUGGGUUGUUCAUGCUGGGUCAAAGGGGUUAUUAGGGCUUCAAUUGCAGUUGAACACCCGCCUGGGUUAUUUUUAACCCAGAGGUUGCUUUAUUCAUUUUCCCACUUCUGAAUCAUUCUGGAAUCAUCUUUUUCAAAACACAAGGUAUGUAACCUAUAUUUUACCUAUAUUUAUAUAAUUAUACAAUUCUGUAACCUAUAUUUUUUUAAUGAGUUGUGAUAACAGUUCAAUAGGGAUCUGUAGGCAUUUAACAGACUGUGCAAAGUAUAACAUUAGCAGUUAACGUCGGCUACAAAUGUUUUACAUUUCUGUCAAUGAGUGAAAGAGCCUUGAAUUUACGUUGUGAUGCGAUGAAUUAUUAUUUUACAAAGACGUGUGUUCUACUAGUAGUUAUAAAUGGGUCUGAACUAUAGCUUUGGAUUUGUGUGCAAAAGUAUUAGAUGUACAAUAAGGCAGUAUAAAUCAGAUGGCUUUUACGUCACAACUCUCUUUCCCAGCAUGCAGCUCGGGCGCGGGCUUUCACACAUACGGACAGACAGACGACAAAGAAGCUCAUUGAUGUAGUAGAGGGUUUCACCAUGGACAUGUUCGUCACAGAGACGUUGACUGCAUGGCAGCUUGAGAACUUGAUUGACACAUUUAAAGGGAGCUUGGUACACACCUGGCCGAAAUCACAAACCUGCUACAGGUUUCCUGGAGGAGCGCUUGAGGAACGUCAGGAAGCGCAUGAGAAUGCUGAAACGACCACGCCACCAAGAACAACAGAAGGAACAGACCGUCCCUAGUACACCAGAAUAUGAUGUGCCUCCUGAAAAACUUCUAGAAAUGGUUGAAUGGAUGAAGGUCAAUAGGUAUCCAGUGUCCCAAGUUGAGGACUACAUGAAUCAAACAGCUCUACAUAGAGGCAAGUGGAUUCGCAGCAAUGGAUCUAAAAGCCUCCCGGAAAUCUUGACUGAGUUCCCUAGGCUUUUAGACAAUCCUGGCAUGAUAUCACAAGACUUCCAGCAGCUUCAUCCAGAGGCAGUAGGAAAACUGUUUCAGAACUGGGCUACUAUGAGUGACCAAAUCCUUACAUAUGCCCAGCGAGAGGGAAAACUGCCCUUGGUGUUUGAUGACAUGACACCAGACCGAGCUUUGAAAGUCCUGCCGAUUCUGCUUCCUCCAUCGGUCUACAGGAUUGGAGGAAAAGUCCACAGACCCACCAUAGAGGAGUCCCGCAAGUCCUUCAUUAAUAUCCAACCAGUAGGCACCAACAUGGUACAGUACCUACAGACCGCAGAGAGAACUCAACCCUUCCCGCACAUCUUGUGUCUUGGUGAUGACAUGACAACAUGCCAGACCUUCACCAUUGUGUCAGACAACGCCAUUGAAACGGACACUUUGCUGGGUGCAGUAGAUCUGUGUUUUAAGGCUUUCUUUGUGUUUGACCUCAAUUACACAAAGCAGUGUCUCCCCACCUGGGAGUUUAUCCAACAGGCAGUAUAUAACAUUGAUGGACAUGAAUCCUCAAAUGUCAAAUUUAUGAGGACAUCAAUUGCAGCUUUGGCCUAAAGGUACACAGAGAGAAGUAGCCUUUUAGUGAUGUGUGUCAAACAAGUUGACAGCUGCUCUCUAAAAAUAUGAUGAUUGCAGAAGACAGUAGGCACACACUUUAAUUGUGUCAAAACGUUGACCCGCGUUUACAGUACCUACUAUUCCUGUUAAUUCAUUUAUUUAAAUUGUAUUUUUCUUACUUUACGUGAUUUAAUUUACUUAUUAUUUACUUAUUUAAUUUACUUCAUUUAUUUAUUUACCUUGUUAUGUUUGUGUCUGUAUAUAGUUUCUGCUGGGCAGAGAAAUGUUUUAUCUCUAUAUUUAAACAUGUUCAUGUUAUUUAAACCUGAAAGAGAAGUUGGUCCAGAUAACAGCACUUUGUAAUAUAUCAUUUGUUUUAAGGCUCUUUGUUU